CAGCAGCCACGGUAAUACGUAGGUGGCAAGCGUUGUCCGGAAUUAUUGGGCGUAAAGGGCUCGCAGGCGGUUUCUUAAGUCUGAUGUGAAAGCCCCCGGCUCAACCGGGGAGGGUCAUUGGAAACUUGGAAACUUGAGUGCAGAAGAGGAGAGUGGAAUUCCACGUGUAGUGGUGAAAUGCGUAGAGAUGUGGAGGAACACCAGUGGCGAAGGCGACUCUCUGGUCUGUAACUGACGCUGAGGAGCGAAAGCGUGGGGAGCGAACAGGAUUAGAUACCCCUGUAGUCCCUGUCUCUUAUAC
rnacentral:rRNA from 1 species